GUGCUCGCUUCGGCAGCACAUACACUAAAAUUGGAACAAUACAGAGAUUAGCAUGGCCCCUGCACAAAGAUGACACGCAAGUUCGUGAAGCGUUGCAUAUUUUU
ensembl:snRNA U6 U6 spliceosomal RNA